CGGACGGGUGAGUAACACUGGGCGAACCUGCCUUAUANAGGGGAAUAGCCUUCCAAAGGAAGAUUAAUACCGCAUAACAUUACACUUUCGCAUGGAAGAGUAAUUAAAGGAGCAAUCCGCUAUAAGAUGGGCCCGCGGCGCAUUAGCUAGUUGGUGAGGUAACGGCUCACCAAGGCGACGAUGCGUAGCCGACCUGAGAGGGUGAUCGGCCACAUUGGGACUGAGACACGGCCCAGACUCCUACGGGAGGCAGCAUG
rnacentral:rRNA from 1 species